AUUGAACGCUGGCGGCAUGCUUUACACAUGCAAGUCGAACGGAAACACGCCGCACGUUGCUGUCUAAUGUCGGCCGCGUGCGUAAUGCAUCCGAACGUGCCCAGUCCCUGUGGGUCACUACUCGCUAGAGUAGCUCAUACCUCAUACGAUCUAUGAAUUAAAACGGCGUACCGUAAUGCCUCGCGCGAUUUUAGCUGCCGCUGUCAGAUUAGGUAGUUGGUGGUGUCAAGGCUCACCAAGCCAACGAUUGGUAGCUGGUCUGAGAGGACGACCAGCCACACUGGGACUGAGACACGGCCCAGACUCCUACGGGAGGCAGCAGUGGGGAAUUUUGGACAAUGGGCGCAAGCCUGAGCCAGCAAGGCCGCGUGCAGGAAGAAGGCUUUCGGGUUGUAAACUGCUUUUGUACGGAACGAAACGGAUCUGGUUAAUACCCGGGGCUAAUGACGGUACCGGAAGAAGAAGCACCGGCUAACUACGUG
rnacentral:rRNA from 1 species